UACGAAGGGGGCUAGCGUUGUUCGGAAUCACUGGGCGUAAAGCGCACGUAGGCGGAUGUGCCAGUCAGGGGUGAAAAUCCCGGAGCUCAACUUCGGAACUGCCUCUGAUACAGCACGUCUUGAGUCCGGAAGAGGUGGGUGGAAUUCCUAGUGUAGAGGUGAAAUUCGUAGAUAUUAGGAAGAACACCGGUGGCGAAGGGCGGCCCACUGGUCCGGUACUGACGCUGAGGUGCGAAAGCGUGGGGAGCAAACAGG
rnacentral:rRNA from 1 species